rnacentral:rRNA from 1 species
GCUAAACCCGCGGCAGAGGGUGGGGUAAGACGGGGGGUGCAAGGGUUACUUGGAAUCACUGGGCGUAAAGAGCAUGUAGGCUGGUGUGUAAGUUGGAAGUGAAAUCCUAUGGCUUAAACAUAGAACUGCGUCCAAAACUACUUACCUAGAAUAUGGGAGAGGUAGAUGGAAUUUCUGGUGUAGGGGUAAAAUCCGUAGAGAUCAGAAGGAAUACCGAUUGCGAAGGCGAUCUACUGGAACAUUAUUGACGCUCAGAUGCGAAAGCGUGGGGAGCAAACAGGAUUAGAUACCCUGGUAGUC